rnacentral:tRNA from 1 species
CUGGGACGAAAGGAUUCGAACCUCGGAAU